rnacentral:lncRNA from 1 species
GCCUCUCCUGCAUUUAGAACAACAUAGUUGUACCCGAUUCUAAGAUGAUGCAAUCAUUGAAAAAACAGAAUGCUUGAACAAAAGAUUGUUCAGAUGAAACUGUUACUUGCCUGUUGAAUUUGAGAAAGCUGGGCAAUCAAAUCUUCAGGUAUAGACCAGUCAAAAACAUCAAUGUUUUCCUUCAGCCUUGCCUCACUUAUGCUCUUAGGAACUACGCUAUGACCCAUUUGCAGUCCCCAGCGAAGAGCCACUUGUGCUGGAGAUUUCCCUAGUUCCUCUGCCACCAUUUUAACAACCGGAUUGUCCAGGACCUUCUUCCUGACAUUUUCUCCAGCUUGGGAACCCAAUGGAGAAUAUCCCUGAGAUCAAACAACAAGAUGGGCUAUUGUGUAAAAAGGUGUGGUUCGGAAAGACUGAUAAAACUAACUCAAAACAUAAGUGAUCAACUGCACAGCCCCCAAGAUGAAUACGCCGGUUUUAUUGCUUUCAAUCUACAAACUCACCGUCAAGUGAACUCCCUUGGAUUGACAAUAUUCGUGCAGCUUUGGCUGCUGCCAUGCAGGGUGAAUUUCCACUUGAUUGACAGCAGGAGUUAUACGUGCCACUUCCAACAGAUCUCCAAGCUUCUUUGAAGAGAAGUUACUCACUCCAAUAGCCCGAGCCUUGCCAGAAUCAUUGAGUGCCUCCAUUGCUCUCCACGUACCAGGAAUGUCAGGUUGCGUAAAGCUUUCAGGCUUAACAACAAUUGAUCCCUUUUUUAAACUGACUGGCCAAUGUAUCUUCAAAAUUCCAUUACAAAUUAGCAACAACACAACCAUACAACCAUUUUCAAAGCAGAUGAUUCAUAUAUAUUUCUCAAUGCAGUAAACCAAAGCAGCCUAAUGUGUUACACUUACUAGAUAAAGAUCCACAUAGUCAAGUUGCAAAUCUUGCAGAGUUUUAUUCAAUGCCUUUGGUACAUCUUCAGGCAAGUGAUCACUACACCUGAAGUUCAAUGUAAUAUAGAUUAGAUAGGGAAAGUUAAAAAAAUGGACUAAAACUGAGUUAAAAGAAAAAGAAAGAAACGAACAAACCAGAGUUUGGAGGUAAUCCAUAAGUCUUCACGCCUCACUAUACCUUCAUUAAACAAUUUCUUCAGAGCAGAACCAAUCUGGAUCAACCAGAAAAUACAUAUGUUAGACAAAGAAUUGUAUCAAUAAAGAGAUGGCAUUACCCAAUUCAAUUUGGAAAACAAAAAUAUCAAAAAAAAAAAAAUAUCAAUCAAUUCUAAUAUCAAAAGAAAGUAGCAGAAAUCCUGGAUUCUGUAAAACCAUCACCUCCUUUUCAUUGCCGUACAGUGAAGCGCAAUCAAUGUGCCGAUACCCAACCUGAAUCAACAAAAAGAUCAGUAAACCCAAAUGAAAAUCGAUUGAAAAUCCCAAAGAAAAAUCACCCAGAGAGAGAGAAAGAGAUGAAAACGUUUACCUUGAUGGCAGUGAUGACAGUGUUUUGGAUAACACCAUGUUUGGCACCGUAAGUGCCUAAUCCAACAGAAGGGAUCUUAGCUCCUGUGUUCAGUUCAAAGAAUCUGAUAUCAUCUGCCAUUCUCUUUCAAAGAAUGUUGAGAACCGAGGAUGACGAAAACACAGACCUUCACAACUGCGAAACGUUUAACAGUGCUUUGUUUUGGCACUUGCCAGGAAAGUGUUGGUUUGUUAGUUGUUUGUUAGGUGUUAGCAUUCAUAGUGGAAACCAUAGCCAAGUGGCAGAUUUCUUUCCUUUCAUAGUUUUGAUUCAAUUUUGUACAAGAUUUGUACUUUUCAUGUUUAAAUAUGGAAAUUUUGAUGAUUUCUUCCAAGGUCUGAGUUCCAAUUGUUGCUUUAUUUGCUUUCUUGGGUUUGCCAGUCCAACAAGGAAGAAGUCACCUCUAUGACAAAUAUUAACCAAUAAAGUAGAGGGAUUAAAUUGUUUUAAUUUUUAAAAUUGAGAGAUUAACUAAUUAAAUUUUGAAUAUAUAAAUUAAAUUGAUGAAAAUGCACGAAUACACGAAUACAAGGAUUAUUUGAGUAUUUGAACUAUAUUAAAAUUAAAGGGAAAUUUUUUUUUAUUCUUUGGAAAAUUUCAAUUUGAAAUAUAAAAUAGUGUAAUCCUUAAUUUGAAGUAUGUAAAUUUCAAUUAUAAAAAUGCAACUUAAGGAUCUUUAAUGUCAUAGUGGUAAUCUAAAUAUAUAAUGUCACAUGACUAUAUGCUCAUUUUAGAAGUAAAUUUGUCAUACUUAUGAAUAUUUGUUUGAAAGUAUUAUAGUAUAAAUAUUCUAGCAUAAUGUUUUAGAAAAUGAUAAAGGUAAAUGGUUGCAUGAUUUUAUAAGAGAUUAAGAAGAUUGUUAUGAAAACGUUUAAGAUGAAAAGUCUCUAGUGCUUAAAGGUGGAAUAAGACAGCCUUAUGGAUGAGAAUUAGGUGCCUUAAUUCCUUAAAACCCUUUUACUUUAUGCUUGAUUUUCCUCUACAUUCCUUGGCCAUCCUCAUUAAUGAUGCCUAUAGGCCCUCAAUAUUCUUAAAUUAAACUUGUACAUAACUUAAUGAGAAGGGAACAAUUGUGAUAUGUGCACCCGCUUACAAAGCUUUGCUUUUUUGCACUUAACCAUGCCUUUUAACUAGGGGUGAGCAUUAAUCGGUAUAAACCGAAAUAAUUGAUUGAAAUCAAUUGAAUUUAAUUAAUAUAGUUUUAUUUUUUCGAUUUCGAUAUUAAUCAAUUAAAAGAGACAAUUUGUUCCAUUAUUUUGACUAAUUUCUAAAUAAGAAAUUUACAACCGAAUAGAUUAAUAUCAAUCAUUAAAAAGAUCUUUUUUUAAAUAUAUUAUAUAAAUUGAAAAUUUGAUCAAUUUAAAUUAUUUUUUAAUAGAUUUCAAUUAAUUCAAUUUUUAAAAAUUUAAAAUUAAAUUGAUCGAACUGACCAAAUACUCUCAUCUAUCUCUAAAUUUUGGUACAUUAUUUUAAGACUCUAAGCUUAGCUUAGCUCCCUUUAAUUAGGUACCCUUUUCUUCACUGCCACCACGUAAUUAAGCUAGGACAAAUGAAUAAAGAGACAUUAUUUAGAAAAGGUAAAGAAAUGUUAACAAAUGAUACAACUAAAUUUCGGGCCCCUUAGUCCAUGUAUAGAGUAGGCCAUAAUGCCUGUAAUACAAGAUGAUCCUUUGUCCACAAAGAAGAAGUCCAACACCCACUUUCUCCAUAUAACAUUAGGGUCUCGAAUUUUGAUAAAUAUUAUCACCUUGAAAAAUAUCAUAUUUUUGAAAAUUACAAAUAAAUUUGAUAAUUCGUGAUUUUAUAUUUUAAAUAUGUCGUUUACAAAAACAAAAUUUUUAAAAAAGAUGGUCGUCACUUUUAAUUUUUAAUUUUUUGAUUAUUAUAUAUAUAAAAUUUGAUAUAUAUAAUAUAAUUAUUUUUUAAUUUUCUUUAUGUAAAAUUUUAUAUUUGUUAUAGAUAAUGUAAAUAUACAAUAUCAAUAAUUAUAUAAAUAAAUUUAAUUAAUUAUAUUAUAAUAUUAAAUAUCUAUAUUGAUAUGUUUAAUAAAAAUAUAAUAUGACGGGAUAAGACUGUUAUGAAAUCAUUAACUAGUUGAUAAUUGAUAGGAAUUUAUGGAAGAAGAUUACUGAUUUUAAGUUAGGACAAGGAAAUCCAUUUAACUAGUCACCCCAAGCUUUGAAUUUUUCCCCUUGGCCUUUUUCUUUGUCACGUUGAAUGCUCUGAAGCCAAGUUCUAAAAUUUUGCAAUGUAAGGAAAAUGGAAUCAUUAGUGGAAGUUCACGAUUGAAUGAGGCGCUGCUGCGGGCCAAUGUAUUCUUGCAUCUGGACCUUACGUUUGGCUCUUGCACUUCGUCAAUUAUAGAUUGUUUGAGUAGGAUGGCCUGCAAAGUCGUCAGGUCUUACGUCUGCUUUUUCUUUGUCACCUCACUCUUCUUUUGUUGAGCUCUGGAAAGGUUAAUACCCCAUUUCAUUAGCUAGUGCAUAGUGGUUUUAAAGUGAAAAGGACUCAAGUUAUUUUCAUCUUAGAUGACUUUGUCACUGAUCGUACUUAAUACUUACUUCCAGGGUACUUCCAAAUUUAAUGAGGACGAUUUUCGAGUAUUAAAUUUAAUGUGGAUGAUUCUGCACGUAUCAAGAAAACUUAAUUAAUAUCUAUGGGUUACUAUAUGAUCAUCAAUAAGUAGUGCAGACUCUAACCAUAUCGAGUUUCUUACCAUUUGUGAAGGAUUUAUCAUGUAUGCACCAUCUAUGAUGAAUAUGGAGAGUGGUUCUUCAAAUGCGAUUCUUUGAUUAACAAAUGGUUUUGUUAUCUGUUAAGGACUUCAAAACUUCUAAAUCAUGUUGGUUUAUUUAAAAAUCAGGUUGGUAAAGUUGAUAUCCUCAAUAUAUCUAGAGAGUACCUAACUCAAUGGCAAAUGGGCUUUGCCAACACUGCAGUAACAAUUUGGCAGGCCUUAGAUUUGACUCUUGAAUGGCGUUUCCUUUAGGAGGUUGGUUCUUGUUUCAUUAACUGUGAAGUACGAAGCUGAAGAAUCGUAUUUAAUGACUGUGUUCAGUUAAAGAACCUGAUUUCAUCUGCCAAUUCUCUUGCAACUAUUGCAAAACUAGACAGAUAAAGAUAGCAGACGAAACCAGCACUUACAACAGAAUUCUUACUUCAACGGUUUCACUGUGAUGUCUUUUCGCUGUUUUUUUUCUUUUUAACUUUUACUUGGUUGAUGAUGCCUUGCUUGCAUGUGAGCUGAAAGCUUGUGAUUGGAUUGACACUUGUUCAGAGACUGUUUAUGUCAGAAAUAUUUGGUGCAAACUCUCCCGAGCGCCUGUUACAGACUGCUACACUCUUGUUUCCUUUCAGAGUCUGUAUAGUCAUUAUUGCCUUUGAAAUGAUUAUACUAAUAUUUACCAAUAACAGUUCCCUGCCUUGCCUAAUUAAUGAGAAAAAUGGGUUAUGAGAUUAAAAGAAAAUGGUGUGGCUCUUUUGAUUGAGCGACUGCUGCUCUAUUGCAAUGACCUGAACUUGAAAUGAACCGAGCCUGUAACAAGCAUAUCUAUUGCAAAUCAGGAGGCAACAGGGAAACAACAUAGAAGCAUUGUCUAUUAUGUUUAAAUUAAAGGGGAACAACUUCCGAACAUAUGUCUGCUCAGACUUCACCAUCCCAAAGCUCUUCAACAGUCCUAUAUACACCAUAACUAUCAUGCACAAAAUGUUCGGCUCUUCCUAGCCUCUCCUGCAUUUAGAACAGCAUAGUUGCACCCGAUACUAAGAUGAUGCAAUCAUUGAAAAAACAGAAUGCUUGAUCAAAAGAUUGUUCAGAUGAAACUGUUACUUGCCUGUUGAAUUUGAGAAAGCUGGGCAAUCAUAUCUUCAGGUAUAGACCAGUUAAAGACAUCAAUGUUUUCCUUCAGCCUUGCCUCACUUAUGCUCUUAGGAAGUAUGCUAUGACCCAUUUGCAGUCCCCAGCGAAGAGCCACUUGUGCUGGAGAUUUCCCUAGUUCCUCUGCCACCAUUUUAACAACCGGAUUGUCCAGGAC